UCCAAAUCGUUUUUUGUCUCGAAAAUGCAGCCAUUUUCACAAUUUCUUGGAGAAAUAUGAAAUGUUGGUCUCCGAGGGAUCACAUCUGGUUGGCUAUUCGUGAAUUUGUUCGACAGUAACACCUGCUGCGUCUACUGUUCUUACCACAACAGUCUCCCGAACCACAAGACCACAAACAAAUCGUGGACAGGUAUAACAUUCCCAUCGGGUCGGUUUAUUGUUGUUUGAACGGGAUAAAUUCUCAGAAUGCCUGCUCUCGUGAGAGGCCGCGACUACUAACUACGCGACAGCGACGCAUUCUUUGGAGAAAUGAGAACAAACUGCGCAAGGAAGAAGGCAAUUUCUCUUGCAUACCAACGAAUUCGAGUAAGGUCCGGUCUGAAGCAUUUGUCUCUUUAUACUGUUACUAAGACUUUGAAACUUAUGCGAUACAUCUCGCAAGAAGCAAGAAAGAAGCGGCUAUUAAUUCCAAGAUAUCAUAAAGAGCCACUUCAAUUUGCGUGUAAGAAGAAAAGAACCUAUCCAGCCGAGCAUAUGUUCUUGAGCCUUUGGCUAAAGAAGCCUCAAAUGGUCCCUUGUAUUCCCGAAACCAUAGUUUGAGACACUGGCAAUAGCUUUACUCAUGCUUAUCGAAACCACUCUGAAUAUAAAACUUAGCAACUUGUGUUCAACGCAUACUCCUCUCUGACAUGUUAAUUUUGUUGAUAGAGGCUAAAGUUUCAAAUGCAUUCAAAAAUAAAGUUUG